CCCCCUGAAUUUAAGCAUAUUAAUGAAGGGAGGAAAAGAAACUAACCAGGAUCUUUUUAGUAGCGGCGAGCGAAAAGAAAAUAGUUCAGCACUAAGUCACUUUGUCUUUAAUGGCAACUGUGAGAUGCAGUGUAUGAAAUAUUCAAUUUUAGUAUGUGAAAUUAGCGAUUUGAGUCCUUUUUAAAUGAGGCCAUUUACUCAAAGAGAAUGCUAGGUCCGUAUAACGUUAACGAUUAUUAGAGAACAAUUCUAAAGAGUCGCGUGCAGCACUAAGUGGGUAGUAAACUCCAUCUAAUGCUAAGUAUAGCCAUGAGAUCGAAAGUAAACAAGUAGCGUGAGG
rnacentral:ncRNA from 1 species